AUGACUACGUGGCCAGAAAUAGCUAAGUUCCAGAAUAAGCCCUUUCCCCUCUACGAUAAGCUUGGUGAUCUGUAUGAUGGGCAUGUAGCAGAAGGUAACUUCAAUUUCACAUCAACUGAGGUUACACAAGUGAGUGAUGGUGAUCCCGAAGUUGAAAGAGAGAAGAUUGCCUUCUCUUUUGACCUGAAUCAAUACGAUGAUGAUUUACACAUGUAUGAUGAUCCAAGAGAUGCCGCCCCAAGUGAUGGUCCAAGAGAUGCUGCCCCAAGUGAUGGUCCUAGAGAUGCUGCCCCAAGUGAUGGUCCAAGAGGUGCUGCCCCAAGUGAUGGUUCAAGAGAUGCUACACAAAGAGGUGGUGUUGCUGCUUCAAAUAACAAGCAUGUGAAGGAAUCAAAGAAGGGUAAGAAGCGUGAUGAUCCUAUGGUGGAAGUGAUGGCACAAUAUGUGGAGAUCAAAUGGAAGCAAGCGGAGGAGGAGUCUGCUCUAUUGGCAGGGGCAAAAAAUGCCCAAGAAUUCUCCAUCAGCAAGUGCAUUGCUGUUUUGCACAAGAUGGAAAGUAUCCACCGUGAUGAAAGAGCCACUGCCUACAAAGUGUUCAAAAGUGUUGAGAACCGUGACAUCUUUCUUAAUUAUGCCGCGGAAGAUGAAGAGAGUGUUGCGGUGCUUCUUCGGAGCGAAAUGGCAGAGUUGACUCAACAUAUCUAA
rnacentral:rRNA from 1 species